GCCGGGUCGACCCGCCCCAGUCCGCCCCAUAACCCAAACAAAUCCCAACCCCCCAUUUUCAUUUUAUCAUUUUUCCAAACCCCAAAACCCUAAAAAAAAGCUGCCCGCCCCCUCUCCUCUCCUUCUCCAAACGACCCCUUCCCCUUCACGUCUAGCAGCAGCCAACGACCUCCCAUGGCUGCCCUUCUGCAUCUGCUUCACCUCACCUCCGUCGACCACCCUUUCUGCUUCACCUCACGUCCCGCCGACCAACUCCAGCCAUGGACGAACCACCAUGAACGACCACGUCGCUUCAAACAACCACUGCCAGUUCUUCCGUCGCACAACAGCCCGGCGACCACCCUCCAAACGACCCCUCCAGCGUCGUCCAACCAGCACCAUUCCAGUCCAGCCGUUCGAGCCAGCUCCGGUCAUCUUCUUCCUCGCUCCACCUGAAACAGCCCGUCGUCACGUCCAAACGACCAUCGUCGCCUCCAUCGCCCCCAAACCAGUAGCAACUUCCACGACCAGCCACCAACAGCCAACUGUUGUUUCCCCGUCGUCUCUAAGCUUUUCCAUCAUCAUCGCUUCUUCUGCCGCUUCCCAUUCACAACAGUGUAGCCAUGAAACCACUCUUGAGGUUCCCGUUCGGCGUUGUUCGUCGAGGUUCCGUUCGAACCCGAACUUCAAACUAGUAGGUUUCCGUUCUCUUUUCUUUUAGUUUUCGUUUAGUGAAUUCAUCUUCCGCUCCUUUUCUUCUUUCUAUGAUUAUGU
rnacentral:lncRNA from 1 species